rnacentral:rRNA from 1 species
AAUCAACGCUGGCGGCGUGCCUCAGACAUGCAAGUCGAACGAUUAAAGCUCUCUUCGGAGAGUGCAUAGAGUGGCGCACGGGUGAGUAACACGUAAGUAAUCUACCUUCGAGUGGGGAAUAACGUCCGGAAACGGGCGCUAAUACCGCAUAAUGCAGCGGCAUCGCAAGAUGACAGUUGUUAAAGGAGCAAUCCGCUUGAAGAGGAGCUUGCGGCAGAUUAGCUAGUUGGUAGGGUAAUGGCCUACCAAGGCUACGAUCUGUAACCGGUCUUAGAGGACGGUCGGUCACACUGACACUGAAUAACGGGUCAGACUCCUACGGGAGGCAGCAGUCGGGAAUUUUGGGCAAUGGGGGAAACCCUGACCCAGCAACGCCGCGUGAAGGAUGAAGUAUUUCGGUAUGUAAACUUCGAAAGAAUAGGAAGAAUUAAUGACGGUACUAAUUAUAAGGUCCGGCUAACUACGUG